AUGUCUGGUGCAAUGCACUGGUGAACUGAAACUAAUCCCCAGUUUAGGAAACAGGAUUAUUCUUCAUGUGAAUAACUCUGCCCAUAGCAUAGGGUCAGUC
rnacentral:snoRNA from 1 species